rnacentral:rRNA from 1 species
CUAACACAUGCAAGCCGAGCGGUAGAGAUUCUUCGGAAUCUUGAGAGCGGCGCACGGGUGCGGAACACGUGUGCAACCUGCCUUUAUCUGGGGGAUAGCCUUUCGAAAGGAAGAUUAAUACCCCAUAAUAUAUUUGAUGGCAUCAUUAAAUAUUGAAAACUCCGGUGGAUAGAGAUGGGCACGCGCAAGAUUAGAUAGUUGGUGAGGUAACGGCUCACCAAGUCAAUGAUCUUUAGGGGGCCUGAGAGGGUGAUCCCCCACACUGGUACUGAGACACGGACCAGACUCCUACGGGAGGCAGCAGUGAGGAAUAUUGGACAAUGGGUGAGAGCCUGAUCCAGCCAUCCCGCGUGAAGGACGACUGCCCUAUGGGUUGUAAACUUCUUUUGUACAGGGAUAAACCUAGAUACGUGUAUCUAGCUGAAGGUACUGUNCAAUAACACCGGCUACUCCUGCC